GUAUUUAUUAUAGUUAUUUACAUUCAUUACAUUAUGUUUGUAGUGUGCCCGAAGGCAAAUAGUUCACAGGUGUUAAAGGAUGAUAAAAGCUCAGCUGUAAAGCGUCGCCAUUUAUUAAUGAUCCUUCCGCAGGUUCACCUACGGAAA
rnacentral:misc_RNA from 1 species